UUGUAGAGGCCCUUAUGAUUCUUAAAUACGGCGGUGUUCUAACUCACGCUGGUAGAAAACAUAUAUUUACAUACUUUACCAUUUAAUUUGUCAUUGUUAUAUAUAUAUAUAUGUUUUUAAAAUAUGGAAGAAUUGUUUAACUUAUUGAUGUUUGCUUCAUCUGCAUGCAGGCAGAAGAGCUUGGUAGAUAUAAUUUUUUGCAGGUUUCUAAUUGAAUUUGUUUUCUUUAUCGAGAAAUGUACUUCAUAAUUUAUAUUAUUUAUGGAUAAUAUUUCGAUUUUUAUUAUACUUUU
rnacentral:lncRNA from 1 species